GCCAGGCGUGGUGGCUCACGCCUGUAAUCCCAGCAGUUUGGGAGGCUGAGACAGAUGGAUCGCUUGAGCCCAGGAGUUUGAGACCAGCCUGGGCAACAUGGCGAAAACCUGUCUCUA
ensembl:misc_RNA Metazoa_SRP Metazoan signal recognition particle RNA